ACGAAGGGUGCAAGCGUUACUCGGAAUUACUGGGCGUAAAGCGUGCGUAGGUGGUUGUUUAAGUCUGUCGUGAAAGCCCUGGGCUCAACCUGGGAAUGUCGAUGGAAACUGGACGACUAGAGUGUGGCAGAGGGUAGUGGAAUUCCUGGUGUAGCAGUGAAAUGCGUAGAGAUGCGGAGGAACACCGAUGGCGAAGGCAGCCCCCUGGGCUGACACUGACGCUGAGGCACGAAAGCGUGGGGAGCAAACAGGA
rnacentral:rRNA from 1 species